rnacentral:tRNA from 1 species
GGGCGGUUAGCUCAGCUGGUAGAGCAUCUCGUUUACACCGAGGAGGUCGGCGGUUCGACCCCGUCACCGCCCACCA